AUACGUAGGUGACAAGCGUUAUCCGGAUUUACUGGGCGUAAAGGGCGUGUAGGCGGUCUUGCAAGUCAGAAGUGAAAUUCCUGAGCUCAACUCGGGCGCUGCUUCUGAAACUGCAGGACUUGAGUGCUGGAGGGGAUAGCGGAAUUCCUAGUGGAGCGGUAAAAUGCGCAGAUAUUAGGAAGAACACCGGUGGCGAAGGCGGCUAUCUGGACAGUAACUGACGCUGAGGCGCGAAAGCGUGGGGAGCAAACAGGAUUAGAUACCCUGGUAUUCCACGCCGUAAACGAUGAAUACUAGGUGUAGGUGGUAUCGACUCCCUCUGUGCCGCAGUUAACACAAUAAGUAUUCCGCCUGGGGAGUACGGCCGCAAGGUUGAAACUUAAAGGAAUUGACGGGG
rnacentral:rRNA from 1 species